CGAAUGGAGCUGUCGGUAGCCUAUGGAAAUCAGUUAUACGAUAGACGAAUAGGCGUUUAUUAGUUAGAACGUAAGUCUAACUACGUGAAUGCAUAGUAGUCGACGUUUAGCGCAUUUUCCAUAGGUUUGCACUGCAACCGGUAUAUACGGCUGUCAUAGGCGUACGCGAUUGAGGGCGAGAACCUUCGGGCUUUCGUAACCAGUCGUCGUGCGUUUUCGUCAGACCGUCGUUAUCGGCGAUAUGUGACGUUACGACGACGUCGGCUGUAAAGCUCGUUUGAGCGAUAUGGCGAUCGGCCAUUCGGUUGGUAUCUGCUCGCAGAUGCCCGAUCGAAUCGGUCAGUCGUUCAUUCGUUCGGCGAUGUUCGACGUCGUGGCGUUCGCAGUGUCUGCGUCAGUCACCCAUUCGACCCGUCUUGAAACACGGACCAAGGAGUCUAACAUAUGCGCGAGCCAAUAAGUAUAAAUAAACUUAGAGGCGCAAUAAAAGUAAAAACUGUCCUUGUCGGCAGUCUAGGUACGAUCCUAGUUGUGUAUUAACGUAUACACUAGGCGCAGUACCGUCCCGUCCCAUCCUUUUAUAGGUAGGGCGGAGAAAGAGUGCAUACGUUGGGACCCGAAAGAUGGUGAACUAUGCCUGAGCAGAGCGAAGCCAGAGGAAACUCUGGUGGAGGUUCGUAGCGGUUCUGACGUGCAAAUCGAUCGUCAGACUUGGGUAUAGGGGCGAAAGACUAAUCG
rnacentral:rRNA from 1 species